rnacentral:rRNA from 1 species
AUCGAGUGGCGGACGGGUGAGUAACGCGUGGGUAACCUGCCUCAUACAGGGGGAUAACAGUUAGAAAUGACUGCUAAUACCGCAUAAGACCACAGUACCGCAUGGUACAGGGGUAAAAACUCCGGUGGUAUGAGAUGGACCCGCGUCUGAUUAGGUAGUUGGUGGGGUAACGGCCUACCAAGCCGACGAUCAGUAGCCGACCUGAGAGGGUGACCGGCCACAUUGGGACUGAGACACGGCCCAA